UUAUCAAUAAGCGGAGGAAAAGAUACCAACAGGGAUUGCCCUAGUAACGGCGAGUGAACAGGCAAGAGCUCAGAUUUGAAAGGCACUUUUGUGCCGUUGUAUUCUGAAGUUAGGGUCCUGAGAAACGAUGCUUAAGUCUUCUGGAAAGGAGCGCCAUGGAGGGUGAUAGCCCCGUCUAGCAUUGACCUCAUAUAGGAUCUUAACAUGGAGUCGAGUUGUUUGGGAAUGCAGCUCAAAUGGGUGGUAUGCUCCAUCUAAAGCUAAAUAUCUGCGAGAGACCGAUAGUAAACAAGUACUGUGAGGGAAAGAUGAAAAGAACUUUGAAAAGAGAGUGAAAAAGUACGUGAAAUUGUUGAAAUGGAAGGGUAGGCCGCUAACCAUGUAGAGCCGUGUUUGGGGGGAAGAUAAAUGCUGUAGAAUGUAGCUCCUCGGAGUAUUAUAGAUGCAGUUCAUAUUCCCACCCGAGUCGGCGAGGAUCUCAGGUUCUACAUAAGUGGGCUAAUCACUCUGCUAUU
rnacentral:rRNA from 1 species